GAUGAAGAACGCAGCGAAAUGCGAUAAGUAAUGUGAAUUGCAGAAUUCCGUGAAUCAUCGAAUUUUUGAACGCACAUUGCGCCCCCUGGUAUUCCGGGGGGCAUGCCUGUCCGAGCGUCAUUGCAACCUUCAAGCGCGGCUUGUGUGUUGGGUCUCGUCCCCCGUGGACGGGCCCGAAAGGCAGUGGCGGCGUCCCGACAUGGUGCCCGAGCGUAUGGGAAUCCUCUUCCGCUCGAAUCGGCCCAUGCGGCGCUGGUCGUAACCAAAUUUUUUACCGGUUGACCUCGGAUCAGGUAGGGAUACCCGCUGAACUUAAGCAUAUCAAUAAGCGGAGGA
rnacentral:misc_RNA from 1 species